AGAGUUUGAUCAUGGCUCAGAUUGAACGCUAGCGGCAUGCUUAACACAUGCAAGUCGAACGGUAGCAGAUCUAGCUUGCUAGAUGCUGACGAGUGGCGGACGGGUGAGUAACGCGUAGGAAUCUACCUUGUAGUGGGGAAUAACUUGGGGAAACUCAAGCUAAUACCGCAUAAGCCUGAGAGGGGAAAGCGGGGGACUGUAAAAGGCCUCGCGCUAUGAGAUGAGCCUGCGUCGGAUUAGCUAGUUGGUGGGGUAAAGGCCUACCAAGACGAGGAUCCGUAGCUGGUCUGAGAGGACGACCAGCCACACUGGGACUGAGACACGGCCCAGACUCCUACGGGAGGCAGCAGUGGGGAAUAUUGGACAAUGGGGGCAACCCUGAUCCAGCAAUGCCGCGUGUGUGAAGAAGGCCUGCGGGUUGUAAAGCACUUUCGGCGGGGAGGAAGGGUUUUUGUGAGAAUAUCACGAGAAUUUUGACGUACCCGCAA
rnacentral:rRNA from 1 species